CCAGACAGCCAGGAUGUUGGCUUAGAAGCAGCCAUCAUUUAAAGAAAGCGUAAUAGCUCACUGGUCGAGUCGGCCUGCGCGGAAGAUGUAACGGGGCUAAACCAUGCACCGAAGCUGCGGCAGCGACGCUUAUGCGUUGUUGGGUAGGGGAGCGUUCUGUAAGCCUGUGAAGGUGUACUGUGAGGUAUGCUGGAGGUAUCAGAAGUGCGAAUGCUGACAUAAGUAACGAUAAAGCGGGUGAAAAGCCCGCUCGCCGGAAGACCAAGGGUUCCUGUCCAACGUUAAUCGGGGCAGGGUGAGUCGACCCCUAAGG
rnacentral:rRNA from 1 species